CAAUGGCGUCGGGACAAACACACACCGCAUAAGAAGAAGCAGCAGCAGACGAAGAAGAAGAGGGAGGAGGAGUGGGGAGGAGGAGGAGGAGAGAAAAACACACAGAUCAAAAUAAAACGACGACGUUGUUGUUAUCGCCUUGGCAGGAAAUGGAAUUAUAUUCGUAAAAAGUAGUCGCCGUUUGUCGCUCUGCAAGUGUAAGUGAGCCUCUUCUCAGCAGGAGAGGGUAGCGCUGAGAGCGGGGCGGGGGAAGCGGCUGGAUGGAGGAGUGCAGAGGAGUUGGGCAAAGAGCAGAGGAGGGGGAGUUUUGCUGAAACGCAAUACCGCUGAUUACCCUGAAAACGGAGAAGCCGACAUACAAAAAAAAAAAAACAAACCAAGCAAACCG